AGCGAACGUUAGCGGCGGGCCUAACACAUGCAAGUCGAACGCGAAAGGUCUUCGGACUGAGUAGAGUGGCGCACGGGUGAGUAACACGUAGGUAAUCUACCCUUUGGCGGGGGAUAACGUUCCGAAAGGAGCGCUAAUACCGCAUAAGACCACGGAGUCUCCGGACGCUGUGGGAAAAGGUGGCCUCUUCUUGAAAGCUAUCACCGAAGGAUGAGCCUGCGUCCCAUCAGCUAGUUGGUAAGGUAAUGGCUUACCAAGGCGAAGACGGGUAGCUGGUUUGAGAGAAUGAUCAGCCACACUGGCACUGGAACACGGGCCAGACUCCUACGGGAGGCAGCAGUGAGGAAUAUUGGGCAAUGGGCGAAAGCCUGACCCAGCCACGCCGCGUGAGUGAUGAAGGCCCUCGGGUCGUAAAGCUCUGUGGAGAGGGACGAAAACCCUGGUUCAAAUAGGCUCCAGGCUUGACGGUACCUCUUUAGCAAGCACCGGCUAACUCUGUGCCAGCAGCCG
rnacentral:rRNA from 1 species